ACAUUUGGUAUAUUGACAAAUUUCAGCUAUUAUGAAUAUAUUUUUUUCUUACACCAAAGAUAAAUGUUUUCAUUUAUCUCAGGUAACUAUUAUAUCUUGGUGUGUUUGUUCUUCUGAUCAUUUGUUUGUUUGUUGUAUGAGUUUGUGUUUGUGUAGGUGCCCACGCAUGUGGAAGGGCCAAGAAGAACGUCAGAUGUCUGUUCUCUGUGGGCUCUCACUGAAUGUGGAGAUAGAUCUACAACCAGUGAAACUGAGCUUUCCUCUUGCCUCCAGCAUUGGCAGUAGAAGGGUUACAGACUGGAAAUGAAAACCAUGAAAAAAGAAUCACAACCUGAGGAAGACAGAACAAGAAGCUACAUGGCUGUCUUUCUCAAACAACUAUAAAAACUGGAGACUGCUUGCUCUUUGGUUUCUUGGUGUUUGAAUAUUAACCCUCUCCCCCAUCUGUUUAAUGUACUAUACCAGUUGGGUUUCUGUUACAUAAAUCCAUGUGCAAUCCUAUCUGGUAUAAUAUAUCAAAGCAUCUUAGAAUAUAAAUGACAUAUAAAUUUGUAGUAUUUGUUUAAAAUUGAAUCUAAGUGGUAAUGUCGAGUCAAAAUAUUUCUAAAGUUAUUAUAAUGUAUUUGUGGCAGAUUAUAAAAUAUUUUUCCUUUUGUCUAUUCUUAUCUAAUCAGAUUACUUUCCUAUUUUGAUAAUAAAAACUGGGGUACUUUCA